GCCUGGGUGGCUCAGUCGGUUGAGCGUCUGACUUUGGCUCAGGUCAUGAUCUCUCAGUCCGUGAGUUCAGGCCCCGCGUCGGGCU
rnacentral:tRNA from 1 species